rnacentral:misc_RNA from 1 species
AGCACGUGAAGGCAGAAAGUCAUACAACAAUUUCAGCCAAAGUUCUUGAAUUAUUACACCAAGGGGUUGGAUUAAACACUACAGGCAGUGUUUUCAAGUCCACGGAUUCAUGUUCCAGCUUCGAGUUCUCAGGCAGUCCUACUGAAAAAGCUAUUCUUUCAUGGGCUGUUAUGGAAUUGAACAUGGAUAUGGAUCAAAUCAAAAGAAAUUUCAACA